UACAGAGGUCCCAAGCGUUACUGAGAAUCACUGGGUUUAAAGGGUGCGUAGGUGGUCCGUUAAGUCAGUUGUGAAAUCCCCGGGCUCAACCCGGGAAAUGCUUCUGAUACUGGCGGACUUGAGGCCAGUAGGGGUCACUAGAACUGACGGUGGAGCGGUGAAAUGCGUAGAUAUCGUCAGGAAUGCCGGUGGUGAAGACGGGUGACUGGGCUGGUUCUGACACUGAGGCACGAAAGCGUGGGGAGCGAACCGG
rnacentral:rRNA from 1 species